UACGGAGGGUGCAAGCGUUAUCCGGAUUCACUGGGCUUAAAGGGUGCGUAGGUGGGAAUGUAAGUCAGUGGUGAAAUCUCCGUGCUUAACAUGGAAACUGCCAUUGAUACUAUGUUUCUUGAAUUUUCUGGAGGUAAGCGGAAUAUGUCAUGUAGCGGUGAAAUGCUUAGAUAUGACAUAGAACACCAAUUGCGAAGGCAGCUUACUAGAGGGACAUUGACACUGAGGCACGAAAGCGUGGGGAUCAAACAGG
rnacentral:rRNA from 1 species